GGGCGAUUAGCUCAGUUGGGAGAGCACCUGCCUUACAAGCAGGGGGUCACUGGUUCGAACCCGGUAUCGCCCA
rfam:Vibrio cholerae O1 biovar eltor str. N16961 chromosome I, complete sequence.